rnacentral:misc_RNA from 1 species
AAAGUCGUAACAAGGUUUCCGUAGGUGAACCUGCGGAAGGAUCAUUACCGAGUUCAUGCCCUCACGGGUAGAUCUCCCACCCUUUGUUUACCACACCUUCGUUGCUUUGGCGGGCCGCCUAGCUACCGGCUUCGGCUGGUAAGUGCCCGCCAGAGGACCCAACAAACCUGUUUUAUAGUGUCGUCUGAGUAAAAAUUUAAUAUUUAAAACUUUCAACAACGGAUCUCUUGGCUCUG